UCAAGUCCAAAAUCCUCCGGGCAUUGUAGAACAGUGUUGGCUACAUUUCCAACAUACUUCUUAACCCAUACUACAUCUCGACUAUGAAUAUUGCUCGCAAGGUACCACACAAUGAUGGUUGCACAAAUCUAAUAUUCAAUGCAAAAUACAAUGCACCACUUGAUCCAAGAUGACAACAACCUUUCCCGGUCUCCAUAUCUCAGGCAAUUUCAAAUCCAAGCCCAGAAACACUUGUGGAUACUAUCAUAAACAGUGAUUUGUAGUCAAUCAUCAAGCGAACAGAAUACUCCAUCGAUGACACUAGCUGAUGGUGAUUUCAUAUACGUAGAAUGUAACAGUCUUAGAGGUACAUCAAGAAUUAUCUUAUUUGCAGUCCACACAUUAGUUUCAGAAGAGCACAAAUCUAAUAUUCAAUGCAAAAUACAAUGCCUAAUCCAAGAUGACAACAACCUUUUCCGGUCUCCAUAUCAUCAGGCAAUUUCAAAGCCCAGAAACACUUGUGGAUACUAUCAUAAACAGUGAUCUGUAGUGAAUCAUCAAGCGAACAGAAUACUCCAUCGAUGACACUAGCUGAUGGUGAUUUCAUAUACGUAGAAUGUAACAGUCUUAGAGGUACAUCAAGAAUUAUCUUAUUUGCAGUCCACACAUUAGUUUCAGAAGAGAGUUAAGCUAAUGCAACUAUUUAUAUGGAAGAAAGUAUUUCUCACUACGUGAAAGAGCCAUUUAUUUGUUUCAUUUCGUGUGUGUAAGCACAUAUAUGAUCUAUCUAAUUCUAUUUUGUACUAACAAUGCCGCAAAUCAAACAAGUUAGGAUUGACUAUAUGAAUGCUCACUGACCACGUCACUCCAUUUAAAUCAUCUCAUCCUAAUUUUAUGUGAAAAAGUAGUACAAGUUCUGUAUAUCUUUUAAAGGAUUAAACCAUUCCUAUAAAGCAUAAGACAUAUAGUUAAAAGUACUAAUGUCUACAAAUAUUCUCUACUAAUAUGCAUUUUUUUCUUCCAUCAUAUAUGCCCUAGCUUUACUAAGUCUGUAUGGAUCCCCAGAUUGUAGUUCUUCGAGACAUCUUUCUUCCAUGCAAUUUCAAGUCUACCUCGUAUCUUUCAACACCUUCUCUUGCGUACAAACGAACAGGUUCAUUUAGAGCUUGAUGCAUGACAUAAAUCAAACCAUCUAAAGCGACCAUCCCUCAAUUUAUUCCCAAUCUGUUACUUGAACCUUCUUGCAAAUGCAAUGAUUUCUAAUCUUGUAUGAUUGAUCACACAUCCAUCUUGGCAUUCUCAUCUCUAUGGCAUUCAUCUUGUGAAUGUGACGAACUAUAGCUGAAUUGUUUGCAUUUUAACUCUGCAAUCUUAUCUAAUUGUCACUCUUAUGUUGACUAAACUUGUAAUGCAUAUAUUCACUCUUAAUUCUACUUAUUAUCCUAAAACCAUAAACUCUCUAAAGUUCUUCUCCAUAGUUCAACCAUUUGAUCGACGCCCUCACUUGUUUCAUCAAUUAGCACAAUAUCAACAACAAUUAACAUACAACCAGGAACUUCAUCUACCAUUAUGUUGGUUAGCUCAUCCACAAGUAUGGCCAUCAAUUAGCACAAUAUCGACAACAAUUAACAUACACCAUGUGCAGAUCCUUCUUCCUCUAGCAAUAAACUUCCAUCAAUCUCCUUAGGAAAAGUAGAGAUACAAAUCCGAAUUGGUUCACCAACACUCUGGUAAUGCUUCUAGUUUACAAUUUAUUACUCUUUCUCAAAGUUCCAUCAUUUGACUACACUACACUGGUUAUGUUGUUGUAAAGUUUCAUCAUAUGACUCAAAAGUUCACAAAUUCUGGUUUCUACAAUUGCCUUUCAUUUCUUUAUGACUUUACAUGAUUCUCUUAGGUUUAUCCAACAAUUAAAGGCUUUGAUAAUAAAAAGGGAAAGACUCUGUUUUGGGGACCCCUCCAAAGUUUUGAAUUCUAUAUCAUUUUUUUCCUGAGUUAUCAACUCAGAUGACCCAGUUGUUAUUUGCACCAAAGCAAACACACACAAAAAAGUGAUUAUGCAGGUUUGGAAUAUGUAUUUAUUUAUGUUUUUACCCCUCCCUAGGAGCUCCCACCUUUUUGUUCCCCUGGUGACUCAAACUCACAAUCUUAGGAUUGGAAGUGAGGGAUGUUUAGUAUCUAAGCAACUCCCUCUUGUCUGUAUUAAUUUCUGCACUGCAACUAAAUUAUCUGAGGUACAAGGUCAAGAGUUUCACUAAUUCUAACUCUCUGAGGGAUCGAUCAGGUUAAUAGUGAAGGAGAUACAAUAUACAUAUAUAUUCUUAUAUGUUAAGAGUAUAUUAGCCCAAACUUUGAGAAAAUUGAAAACCAGAUAAUGAAAUAUGCACUUCAAAAUAAUUAGCUAGAAUAGAAACAAGGAAUUCCAUUAUUUGUAUCUAAGUUCAAAGUAUAUAGAAUAAGUAUUAUUCAAAUAAGUAAGAAUAGUUUACAGAAGACGACGUGGCCAUUGAUACCAUUCAAAAGGAAACAAUUUGUAGCGCUUCAUCGUUGGACCUCCUGAAAAAAUAUUGACAAGUUGUGCAACAUCCUUCUCAAAGUCAUAAGAAAUAAUAUUACGCUGAAAACCCAAAUAAAAUAUGUGUGGAACAGUAGGAUGAAUCACCAUGUUAUUAAACUCAAUGUGAGGAUAGCCCUCAACUCCAAAAUCCUCCGGACAUUGUAGGACAGUGCUUUUUACAUUUCCAACAUACUUCUUAACCCAUACUGCAUCUCGAUUACGAAUAUUGCUAGCAAGGUACCACACAAUGACGGUUCCCUUAAAUAUAAUAUUCAAUGCAAAAUACAAUCCACCAGCUGAUGAUCCAAGAUAACCACAACCUAUUCCUCUCUCCAUAUCUUCAGGCAAUUUCAAAUCCCAGAAAGACUUGUGGAUACUAUCAUAAAC
rnacentral:lncRNA from 1 species